ACUUGAUGUUGAAAAAUAUAUCCUAAAAUCAAUCAUUUAGAUGAUUAUGCUCUUUAUAAUUUAUAUAUAAAUUAUGAAUUAAUAAAAGUUAUUUUCAUCAUAAAUUAUGCAUCUUCCUUAUUUAAACUCUUAUGUUGUGAUAAAGUCUUUAGAACUAUAAAGACAAUCGAUAAAGAAAGAUUUAUUGAAUAGUUCUUAAAUAUGUGCACGAUCAAAUGAUACGUCAUUAAAGGAUGAUGAUGUUUAUCUAGUAUAAAUCAUUAUGUGCCAUAUAGAUUGAUUGUCUUUGUAACCAAAGAGUAUGGAG
rnacentral:lncRNA from 1 species